GGGGCUAAGCGUUAUACCGAAGCUGCGGAUAAAUUUAUUUAUGGUAGGGGAGCGUUCUAUGUAGGGUGAAGCGUUAGCGAAAGCGGACGUGGACAGCAUAGAAGUGAGAAUGUCGGCUUGAGUAGCGAAAACAUGGGUGAGAAUCCCAUGCCCCGAAACCCUAAGGGUUCCUCCGGCAGGCUCGUCCGCGGAGGGUUAGUCUGGACCUAAGGCGAGGCCGAAAGGCGUAGUCGAUGGAUAACAGGUCAAUAUUCCUGUACCAGAUGUGUUUUGAGAAGGGGGACGGAGAAGGCUAACCAGGCCAGAUGUUGGUUACUGGUUCAAGCGUUCGAGGCUUUGAGAGAUGGAGAAAACAUCUUGAGCUAAGGCGUGAGUACGAGCUGCUACGGCAGCGAAGUUGGUGAUGUCAUGCUUCCAAGAAAAGCCCUAUACUCGUUAAGACACAAAUGCCAGUACCCGAAACCGACACAGGUGGGGUGGUAGAGAAUACCGAGGGGCGCGAGAUAACUCUCUCUAAGGAACUCGGCAAAAUGGCCCCGUAACUUCGGGAGAAGGGGUGCCAGCGAGAGCUGGUCGCAGUGAAGAGGCGCAAGCGACUGUUUACCAAAAACACAGGUCUCCGCUAAGUCGCAAGACGAUGUAUGGGGGCUGACACCUGCCCAGUGCCGGAAGGUUAAGGAAGCUGGUUAGCUUUUUGUGAAGCUGGCGACUGAAGCCCCGGUGAACGGCGGCCGUAACUAUAACGGUCCUAAGGUAGCGAAAUUCCUUGUCGGGUAAGUUCCGACCCGCACGAAAGGUGUAACGAUUUGCGCGCUGUCUCGGAGAGAGGCUCGGCGAAAUAGAAUUGUCUGUGAAGAUGCGGACUACAUACACCCGGACAGAAAGACCCUAUGAAGCUUUACUGUAGUUUGAUAUUGUGCUCGGGCUCUGAAUGCGCAGAAUAGGUGGGAGACGUUGAAAUAGUACUUGUGGGUAUUAUUGAGUCAUCGGUGAGAUACCACUCUUUUAGAGCUAGGGUUCUAACGCUUACCCGUUAUCCGGGAAGCGGACAGUAUCUGAUGGGCAGUUUGACUGGGGCGGUCGCCUCCUAAAAGGUAACGGAGGCGCACAAAGGUUCCCUCAGGCUGGUUGGAAAUCAGUCGUUGAGUGCAAAAGCAGAAGGGAGCUUGACUGUGAGACCUACAAGUCGAACAGGGACGAAAGUCGGUUUUAGUGAUCCGACGGUUCUGCGUGGAAGGGCCGUCGCUCAACGGAUAAAAGUUACUCUAGGGAUAACAGGCUGAUCUCCCCCAAGAGUUCACAUCGACGGGGAGGUUUGGCACCUCGAUGUCGGCUCAUCGCAACCUGGGGCUGAAGUCGGUCCCAAGGGUUGGGCUGUUCGCCCAUUAAAGCGGUACGCGAGCUGGGUUCAGAACGUCGUGAGACAGUUCGGUCCAUAUCCGGUGUAUGCGCAGGAAUAUUGAGAGGAUUUCUCCCUAGUACGAGAGGACCGGGAGGAACGCACCUCUGGUGUGCCAGUUAUCGUGCCAACGGUAAACGCUGGGUAGCCAUGUGCGGAGUGGAUAACCGCUGAAAGCAUCUAAGUGGGAAGCCCACCUCAAGAUGAGUAUUGCCAUGGCUUAAGCCAGUAAGGUCACGGGAAGAACACCCGUUGAUAGGCUCUACGUGGAAGCUUGGUAACAAGUGCAGCGGAGGAGUACUAAUAGACCGAGGGCUUGACCAA
rnacentral:rRNA from 1 species